AAAUUAAUUUUACUGUGAAAGGACUUGGAUAAUAUGCUUAAUCGAUGCAGAAUCACUUGGUGGUCACAAAUCGACAAGUUACAACCCUUGGUAAUCAGUAAUUCAUUUAAUAAACAUAAAAAAAAGAAUUCAAUAUUCAGUCUAGAAAAUCCCCCGUGGUGAUGCUUAUGGUGACGUAAUUAGAACGCUCUGAUUGGUCGGUGAAAAGAUUCAACGGCCAAAUGAAAAAAAUGUCGAGGUGAGAUGUGAAAAGAAAGCGAGCGUUUACAGAUGCUGAACCUAGAUGUCGCACUGAGCAUUUUCAUCGAUAAUUUUCACGAUUGGCACGAUUACCGAAUUUCCGAGUGAGGUUGUCAACUAAUAGGGAGAUGGCGAUACCCGAAUGCGAGUAAUGAGAAAACAAAUCUGCGAGGAUCUGCACUUGACACAAGCUCGUCACUGUCAUGGUGUAAAAGGUGCGCACAGCUCUCUAUUGAUGUUUAAAGAUAAAAACACCGAAUGCAAUGAUGCCCCGCCGCAAUGAUGAACUCUUGAGAGACUCCUUGAAAAAAAGGUGACAAAACAUGAGUUCGGUGGUAUCCCUUCCAAAAGAACACGAAGAGUUCUUUUAACAAUAAAACAUAAAAGAGGAAAAAAAAUUAGAUUAAUGGAAUUCAAUUCGCUCGAGUAACAAAAAAAAUAAUUAAAAAAACAUGUGCGACAAGCGAAAAGCUUGUAACGAUGGAGAUGUAAAAAACGUAUAACGUGUAUGCAAUUCAAUAAUAAUAAAAAAACCUUCAACUUA